rnacentral:rRNA from 1 species
AACGAACGCUGGCGGCAGGCUUAACACAUGCAAGUCGAACGCAUCCUUCGGGGUGAGUGGCAGACGGGUGAGUAACGCGUGGGAACGUGCCCUUCAGUUCGGGAUAACCCAGGGAAACUUGGGCUAAUACCGGAUACGUGCGAGAGCAGAAAGAUUUAUCGCUGAAGGAUCGGCCCGCGCCUGAUUAGCUAGUUGGUGGGGUAAUGGCCCACCAAGGCGACGAUCAGUAGCUGGUCUGAGAGGAUGAUCAGCCAACUUGGGACUGAGACACGGCCCAAACUACUACGGGAGGCAGCAGUGGGGAAUAUUGGACCAUGGGCGCAAGCCUGAUCCAGCCAUGCCGCGUGAGUGAUGAAGGCCUUAAGGUUGUAAAGCUCUUUCUUCCGGGACGAUAAUGACGGUACCGGAAGAAGAAGCCCCGGCUAACUUCGUGCCAGCCGCCGCAGUAACAC